rnacentral:lncRNA from 1 species
CAUCGGGAGAGACGGACUGAGAGAUUGCAAAGGGGAAGAGAAGGAAAAGGGUCAGAACAGUACCGGUGAUUCCCGGACGGCGAGGCUUUUUCAUCUUUUUUUUUUUCUGAUUCUUCUUUACUGAGUGAGCUUUCGUCUGAGAGAGUGAAAUAGAAAGGUAAAUGGCGGGGGGAGAAAGCAAAGAAAUCUUGAGAAUCAAUGGA